CGUAUUAGUAUUACUCAUUGAGGAGGAAUAGAAAGUCAUCCUGACACCUGAGAAAUUGAAGAAGAAAAAUAAACAUUUGAAAAACUUGAAUAAGAUGUUUAAAAACGACUUCUUCCUCAUUUAUAGGUGUCUUGAGUUAAUACUUGUGUUUUUGGAUGGAUACAUAUUAUUUUGCCAUACUCAGUCAGAGGGGUUCAGUUGUGGUAAAAGGAUUUAAAGGCAAACACCCAAGUCAAUCAUUUUGAAGGUUAAAUAAGUUAUGGACAGUCGGUGCAUACUUACUACUUUGUGUUCGAGGAAACGGUGGAACAAAUGUUUUCAACAGCAUUGAAAAAAAAAAAAUUAAGCUUGUUAAAAUGUUCAAAAAAAUGCUUGAAUUGUGUAGAAUAAAUGUCUUGUAAUUUG
rnacentral:lncRNA from 1 species